rnacentral:rRNA from 1 species
UCGAGCGGGAAGCNUUUUAAGGAUUCUUCGGAUGAAUUAAAAAGUGGAGAGCGGCGGACGGGUGAGUAACGCGUGAGAAACCUGCCCUAUACAGGGGGGAUAGCCAUUGGAAACGAUGAUUAAUACCCCAUAUGACCACAGUAUCGCAUGAUACAGCGGUGAAAACUCCGGUGGUAUAGGAUGGUCUCGCGUCUGAUUAGCUAGUUGGUGGGGUAACGGCCUACCAAGGCGACGAUCAGUAGCCGGCCUGAGAGGGUGACCGGCCACACUGGAACUGAGACACGGUCCAGACUCCUACGGGAGGCAGCAGUGGGGAAUAUUGCACAAUGGGCGAAAGCCUGAUGCAGCGACGCCGCGUGAACGAUGAAGGCUUUCGAGUCGUAAAGUUCUGUUCUUGGGGAAGAUAACGACGGUACCCAAGGAGAAAGCACCGGCUAAAUACGUGCCAGCAGCCGCGG